UACAGAGGGUGCGAGCGUUGUCCGGAAUCACUGGGCGUAAAGGGCGCGUAGGCGGCUUGAUAAGCGUGCGGUGAAAGCCCGGGGCUCAACCCCGGGUCGGCCGUGCGAACUGUCGAGCUGGAGCACUGUAGAGGCAGGUGGAAUUCCGGGUGUAGCGGUGGAAUGCGUAGAGAUCCGGAAGAACACCGGUGGCGAAGGCGGCCUGCUGGGCAGUGGCUGACGCUGAG
rnacentral:rRNA from 1 species